rnacentral:rRNA from 1 species
UACGUAGGCAGCAAGCGUUGUUCGGAGUUACUGGGCGUAAAGGGUGCGUAGGCGGUCCUAUAAGUAUGGUGUGAAAUCUCCCGGCUUAACUGGGAGGGUGCGCUAUAGACUGUGGGACUAGAGUGUGGGAGAGGAAAGUGGAAUUCUUGGUGUAGCGGUGAAAUGCGUAGAUAUCAGGAGGAACACCGGUGGUGUAAACGGCUUUCUGGACCAUAACUGACGCUGAGGCACGAAAGCGUGGGUAGCAAACAGG